ACAAUUCCAGGCUUACCUGGGUUCAGCCUCACCUGGGUCCAGCCUCAUCUGGGAUCAGGCUGGUGGGGAGGCUGAAUGCUAAACAAUCCAGUGAGACAAAUGGGGAGUGUCCAGGGGCCAUUCUGUUGGUACCUGGGUCCCCUUUACUAGCACAUAUGAACCAACACAGUGAUGCUAUCAGGAGCUAUGGAUUAAUGGAUCAUGGAAGCAAGCGCUGGCUGUGAUGGGACAAACGGAAGGAGUUCUGACUGGCCUGAGAGAGUCUUACAGGGGACAUCAGAAGAGGGGGAGCAUCUCCAUCCUGGGAGCACACCAGCCUUUGCCCUCAGAGUGCAGAGUGCGACAGCUACGCCCAUCGAGGCAGGAGGCUGGACUCAGAGAUGCCGGGACCUUCUCAAUCUGGAAUCUUCAGUUCUGCUGGAUCCAAGUGGCAUCCAGCUGCCAAAAGGACAUUUUGGUUGUUUGCUCAGCUGUGACCUAGAACACAGUGAACUGACUUUCUGGCUAAAUCCUACUUGGGGAGGCUGGGAGAGGGUUGGGCCGAGGGAGAAGAGGAGAGAGAAGCUCCAGCCACAGAGCUCUGGUCUCCUGUUCCCAAGGCCAUCAUAACUUGGUGGCUCCAGCCGAGGGCAGCAUGCGAGCCCUCCUUGUACCACCUGACCCGCCAGCCACGGUAGCAAGAGUGACCAUUUAUUGAGCACCAACUAUGUGCCAAGCAAGAUGCUCAACUCUCUGCAUUUAUCAUCAUAUUCAAACCUCACAACAGCCCUAGCUGCAGUGCCCCAGGUAGGAGGGGAAGGGGAAAGCCCUCAAGUGUCUGAGAGAACCCGGAGCUGACCCGAGUUGUGUCCACCCACAGCAGAAGUUCUGCUUCUACACUUCUGCACUCGUGAACAUGGCUGAGGUAAGUCAUCCCUCUCUCCAGCUCAAGCCUGUAUCGUUGAGGUUUUCUCCUCUGUAAUGGCUCAAAGCCCUUUCCAGCUAAAAGCAUCUCACCCUUUUUGGAGUGAGGGCUGAAAUUCUGCAUCCUUGCCCACCACUGUGACAGCAAUCACCCGCUCCUGCCGCUGCUCAAUUGGUAGUAGGUGGCUCCUUGGCAAAGAGUAUGUGUGACUGUGGGCUUGACUGUGUGUGUAAGAGUGUGAACGAGGCUUCUGUGCGAGAAUGUGUGCCCACAUGAGAAACCUCCUUGAAUUGAACAAGAGAACAUUGAAAAAAGACCCAGUAAGUACUACUGGCCCAUCAGCCUUUAAGUCAAGGUGUGCAUUUCAGAUGAAGACCCCAGCAGUUAGCCUGGAGUUGACUAAGAGACUCCAGCCCUAUUUUUUGCAGGUUCCAUCAGCAUCUUGGGGUGAGGGUCUCCUCAGGCUGAAAGGUUAGGGAGAGUCAAAAGUCAGGAGCCAAGGAGACAUUCUGUGUCUCGCAAAGCAAACACGAGUCCUUGCUCAGAUCUCACAGGAAGACCAUCACAGGAUAGAUUCAUGCAGAGGACCAGCUCUGUGGCAGGGAAUGGUUGAGGGAAGUAAUGGAAACUGGAGGAAAGAAGGAAUGGAACUCUCUGGGAUGAGAGACGUCACUUGGUCCUUUGUGUACAACUCAGUUCCUUAUCACCAUGGUCCGAGCAGGUUAGAUUAUUACGCCCACUUUAUAGAGGCAAAAGUGAUUGCCCUAGAGGGAGAAUGACUUGCCCAAGGUCAUGCAGCCAGUAAAAUAAAAUCUCCAUUCUAUCAUGUUGCCACAUUGUUCCCUAAUGCAUAACAGAACCUCUGCCUCAGGAAGUGGGGAGGAAAGGGGUCAGGUCUGGGCUUGUCCCAAGGACAGAGCAGGCAGUUAACAUGACUCCAAGAUUCGAAGAGCCUGGUUUAAGGGAUCCUGACCAGGUGGGAUUUAGAAGCACACAGAGGUUUUGGAGUUAAUGUCUGCAGCCUCCUGGCUGGGUGAUCUUCGGCUCAUCAUUUCAUUUCCCGGAGUCUCAGUUUUCCCACCUGUAAAAUGGGGGUAAUGAGACCCUUUACUCUCUUUGUCAGAUUGUUAUGAGGGUUAACAGAGCUACUGUGAGAGAAGCGUUUGGGCCUGACCCAAUAUUCUUGUGUGGCUGUCAUCAUUGGUGCUGGGAAGAAGGUCCCAUCUCUGCGGGGUUGGCAUGAGGGUGCCACAUCUGGGGAGAGCAAAGAGGAGAGUGUCCCCAGGUAAGAGAGAACCUGGACAGUGACCAAAGUUGCUCUGUGUCAGGAACAACACAUAGGGAAUUCUUUGUUCUUGUUCUUUCCCUGUGAAGCUAUUCCCACUUCUAUACCCGCUAAUAACCUAUAACUUUCAGAUAAAGAGUGGAAUUGUUGGGAAAAUUGCUAGCCCUUCAGAUUUUUCAUCUCGAAUCAUCACCUUCUACUCCAUACCCUUCCUCCACAAUGCUGGCCAUGAGAAACCCUAUUAGUUGGAGCAGCAGGGCUACCUCCCACUGACCCUGGGGAUUGAGAGGGUGCUGGGGAGAGGGGAGGACGGAGGGAGAAGCAGGAUGGCUUCCGCUUCUCGCAGGAGGUGGGGCCCAGCCUGCAGGUGGAUGGACUUCAAUAGGACCAAUCUCUGCUUACAGAGGCAGAGCUGAGUGCUUUACUGUCCCUGAUCUCUCCCCUGCUUUGUCCUGGUGCAGUCUAGCGCACACACCAUGCCACUGACCACGCUCUCCACAGGUCCCCAGUGAGCUCCUCGCCAAAUACCUCUCACUCGGUCUUGACCGGCUGGCCCUCUUAUCACCUUGAGUGUUCUAGACACACCCUCCUUCUUCAGACACCUCACCUGAUGCCAGUGAUCGGCUUCCCUCACCUAGCUGCCUCUUCCCUCUUCCCGAGGCUCCGUCUUCUCAAGGGUCCCCCACCAUAGCUGUGUCCAGGUGACUGUGUCCCGUGACAGGUCCAAGCCCUUCCCACUCCACAUGCCCUCCAUCCUCCUUUCUCUAACUCCUCCCAGAUCCCCCUCUCCAGCCCCAGGGGCAGUCUCCCCCGGUUCAAAAUGAAUGCUGACCUGGAAACUCAUUUUCACCUAUAAAGGUGACAAAUUUUGAAAAAUAUUGAUGAUAUCCAGAGUUAAUGAGAGUUGCUGGCAGCGUAAGCUGGUGUAGCCUUUCUGGAGCCCAACUGACAGACUCUAUCAGCCUAUAAAAAUACACCAUCUUGGUGUAUUUGACCCAACGCUUCACCUCUUGCAAUCUACCCCAGUGAAACACUAGCACGUGUGCACAGAGAGGACAGCACAAAGAUAUUUGUUAUAGGAUUGUUCAUAAUAGUGAAAAAUUGGAGGGAAAUGCACAAGGAUAGGAGAUAGUACAUUCAUUGCAUGCAAUACCAUGCCGCAACAGGCAUGUGCACUCGUAAACUUGAACUUAGAGUAUGGCUUGAGAAUGUGCUUCCCCGGGCUGUCCUGAAUUCCAAGAGACCUGGAGACUGAAUUAAGACCCAGUGAACUAAAAGCCUGGAAGGAUAGCGUACCAGGCAGGGGGCUAGAUGGAGAACAAGGCAGAGACUGUGGUUCUGCAGGUACCACAAGCCAAGGUGGAGCCAGAUGAGGCAGGGCCACCAGUGGGCGCACGCCUGGCCACCAGUGCGUCUCCACCUGGGCUGGAGACCUCCCUUAAGGAACCCAGGUUUGCCCUGGAGAAGCAGGCAGUACUUAUGGUGACUUCCUCUUCCUGACAAUCCUAUAGCUGCCUGGUUGCUCACAUUGAGUCCUCCUCCUGACCACAUGGGCUUCCCCGGUGGCCCAGCAGUAAAGAAUCCACCUGCAAUGCAGGAGCCGCAGGAGACACAGGUUUGAUCCCUGGAUGGGGAAGAUUCCCUGGAGGAGGGCAUGGCAACCCACUGCAAUAAUCUUGCCUGGGAAAUCCCGUGGACGGAGGAGCCUGGAGGGCUACAGUCCAUAGGAUUGCAAAGAGCUGGACAUGACUGAAGUGAUUUAGCCCGCACACCCAUACCUCCCCACACAGCUGGGGAGGCAGGUGGAGGUGAAAGCUUCCUGAGGGAUAGAAUGUUUUCAUACAAGGCAGACUGAAUAUUACCAAAAAGAGACUGUGUAAUGAUCGGAUCAGAUUGAACUUGAAGCCACAUUAGAUGACAUUAUGUAAUGUUUUCCCACUGACCAAGGCAGGAGUGGUUCUGGAGGAAAGUCGGAUUAGUAACAAACAAAAUAAUUAUAGCUUCCUUGUGCACUGGAGCGCACAGGGAGCUGAAUUUGUGACUCGGAUGCAUCUGUACUUUUUUGGCUCAGUUUCCUAUGCCGGCACACUCUCCUUCCCCUCUCCUUGUGGAUGGCUCCUGAUAGGCCCCCACAGGGAGCUGCCCUUGGAUCCCCAGACCGGCUUGCACACCACACAGCUUGCCUUUAUCCCAGCAUCUAGCCCACUGUGUUGUCAGGCUUGCUUCCCCCAUCAGACUGUGAGCUCUGGGGAGCAGAAAGUUCAAGUGUUAGUCGCUCAGUUGCUCAGACUCUUGGUGACCCCUUGGACCAUAGCCCACCAGGCCCCUCUGUCUAUGAAAUUCUCCAGGAAAGAAUACUGGAGUUGGGUUGCCAUUUACUUCUCCACAGGAGCUUCCCAACCCAGGGACUGAGCCCGGGCCUCCCAUAUUGCAGGCAGGCUCUUUAUUGUCUGAGCCACCAGGGAAGCCACCAGGGAAGCCUGAGGGGCAGGGGCCUCUACUAAUCAUCAAAGUACCCCAGGACCUGGCACAGUACGUCUUAGCCCACAGCAGGUGUUCAGUUAAUGCCUGUUGAAUCAUGAAUGGCUACAUGGAUGAAAGAGGGAGAGGGGCUGCCUGUAUAGAAGACCUAGAAACUCUGUGACCUCAGGCCAGAUGUUCCCAACCCCCACCCUCCACCCUGGGCCUGUUUUCCUUCUACAAAGAGGUGGGGCAGGCUUCUCUCUGACAACCGGACCCACCCAGUCCUCCUGCAGAGCCCAAGACAGAUGGGAUGGAUGGGGCGGGACCUCUGUCCUCUCUGCCCACUGAGAAAUCCCAGACCAGAGAAUCCAGUCUGCGUAACUUCCCUGCCCACUGCCAACUCAGCCUUUGCAAAAUUCUGCCGGUUUCUUUUUCCAGACGUGGCUCAUGUCUGACUCCGUCCCCACACCCUCCUCUUGGAGGGACCCUGAGUGCUUCCAGAUGCAGGCUUUCCUGCCUCUUUCCUGGAGUCCAGUUGGCUAGCUCCAGCUGAGGAGCUGCCCGAGGCCUCUCCCUGCCCCCGCACUUGGGGGCAGGGAGGAGUCCCUCUUGCUCGGGCAGCCCUCUCUGUGUGCUGUUCUCCCCUCUGUCGCUGUGGCCCUCUCCGGUUUCCCUCUCCGUGGCUAUCUUUUGGCCUCUGUGCCUCUGGCUUUGUCUUUUUUUCUUUUCCUGCCUUCUCUCUGUCUCUGCUUCCUCUUUGCGUCUGUGUUUCCCUCUGUUCCUCGCUCCUUGCUUUUUCUGCAUUCUCCUCUCCAGCUUCUUCUCUCCACACCCUUUUCCCAUCUGAGAGGCCCCUCCCCUUCCACAGUCCCCUUAACCCUGCUGAGGGGUAGUCUCAGUUUCUCCCAAAGCCUUGGCCAGCCUGAGUUCCCACACCACUCCUCUGUCAGGCAGGCACCCCAGCACAAUAGGGGGGAGCAUGUUGGACCCACAGCAUCCUAGCAUGGACUUCCUGAGGGGGAGGGGGAGGGGGCAUGACCAUGACCCACGGGGAAGGCUGCCCGCUCCUUUUCCAGCCUGGAGACACCUCACCCCGACCCUGUGUGAGGCAGCCUGGGCCCCCUCCUCUCCCUGAUAGCUGGGGUGCCCUGGCCAGGGAGCGGCCCCCAAACAAGGGCUGCACUCAUGGCUUCCCCAAGGGGCUGCUUUUCUCUGCUAGCGUCCUCCCGCAGAGCCUGCUGGGAGCUGGGCUAUUGGAUCUCAGGGCUGCUUCAGUUGAGAGGUAUCAGGCCCCAGGACCUAGCCAGAGGGAUGUGAGAGAACCAGGAGCAUAUGUGAGUCUGGGCUGUGAAGCCUGAGGUGGGAAUUGAACCUGUGAGCUUCUGCCCGUUGGAUCCUGGGCUCUGCCCCCACAGUGGGGUAGUCUGACACAAACCACUUCCCCUUUGUAAGCCUCUGUUUUCUUUCUUGUAAAAUGGGACAAAAGAUUUCCUCCUGCACUGUUAUAAGAAUUGAAUGCUAAGCCAUGGAUAAAACCCAACACUGAAGGCUCACAAUAAACUACUAGAGGUGGCCUCUGAAUGGCUGAUUAAAAAAAUCAGAUCUGUGUCAAAUGCCACCUAUACUUCCUCAGACUGACAUAGGCUGGGAGCAGGGUUGGGGCUGGGGAGCAGGGGGAGAUGCUCAAAUUGAGUUAAAGAGUAAGUAUAUGAAAAGAUGAGGGAGUGAAUGAUUUAAUCUCAGGCACUGAUCAAUAGUGGCUUUGCAUAAACCACAGGUCCUCAGUAAAAGGGAGAGGUAAUUCCUAUCUUGUAAGGUUAUUAUGAGAAUGAAAUUAAAUAAGGAAUUUAUUUAUUUUAUUUAUUUUUAUAAAUUUAUUUAUUUUGAUUGGAGGCUAAUUACUCUACAAUAUUGUAGUGAUUUUUUGCCAAACAUGGACAUGAAUC